ACCUGCCCUAUGAUUGAAUAUUAAAUGGCCGCGAUAUUUUGAUCGUGCAAAGGUAGCAUAAUCAUUAGUUUCUUAAUUGGGAACUGGAAUGAAAGGUUGAACGAAAAAAAAACUGUCUCAAUUUAAUUUAAUUAGAAUUUUAUUUUUAAGUAAAAAAGCUUAAAUAAAUUUAAAAGACGAGAAGACCCUAUAGAGUUUUAUAUUUAAAAAAUUUAUAAAAGAAUAUAGUAUAUAAUUUUUAUUAUUAAUUAAGUAUUUAGUUGGGGUGACUGAAAAAUUAAAUUAACUUUUUUUUAUUUUAAACAUUAAUAUAUGAAUUAUUGAUCCAUAGAUUAUGAUUAAAAGAUUAAAUUA
rnacentral:rRNA from 1 species